rnacentral:lncRNA from 1 species
GGCAGUCAGGAUGGAACUGGGGCUGCGAGGCCCCAUACUUUCAAGCUCAUUGUGGAUGCUGGAGACACAUGAACUGUAGUUCUCCACUUUGGCGCAAGCUUGUAUGAUCAGGGCUUGAAGGGUCUGGUUUUGGUCUUUGGAGGAGGAGGCAUGGGGGAGAGGUUCAAGGGUUUGGUUUUGGGCAUUGAAGGAGGAGGCAUGGGGGAGAGGUUCAAGGGUUUGGUUUUGUGCAUUGAAGGAGGUUCCAUGGGAGAGGGCUUCAAGGGAAGGUAAAAGGAUUAGAAUAAGAAAGAAAUUGGCUGAAUUGGCGAAGGCCAUUGCUUAGCUAUGAAAUAUGAUGGACAACUAGAAAG